ACAGCAGCCGCCGCGGUAAUACGAAGGGUGCAAGCGUUAAUCGGAAUUACUGGGCGUAAAGCGUGCGUAGGCGGUUUGUUAAGUCUGCUGUGAAAUCCCCGGGCUCAACCUGGGAAUGGCAGUGGAUACUGGCAAGCUAGAGUGUGUCAGAGGAUGGUGGAAUUCCCGGUGUAGCGGUGAAAUGCGUAGAGAUCGGGAGGAACAUCAGUGGCGAAGGCGGCCAUCUGGGACAACACUGACGCUGAGGCACGAAAGCGUGGGGAGCAAACAGGAUUAGAUACCCGCGUAGUCCCUGUCUCUUAUAA
rnacentral:rRNA from 1 species